UUUAUGGAGAGUUUGAUCCUGGCUCAGGACGAACGCUGGCGGCGUGCCUAAUACAUGCAAGUCGAGCGGAGCUGAUGAGGUGCUUGCACCUCUGAUGCUUAGCGGCGGACGGGUGAGUAACACGUAGGUAACCUGCCCAUAAGACUGGGAUAACCCACGGAAACGUGAGCUAAUACCAGAUAGGCAUCUUC
rnacentral:ncRNA from 1 species